AGUGAACGCUGGCGGUAGGCCUAACACAUGCAAGUCGAACGGCAGCACAGUAAGAGCUUGCUCUUACGGGUGGCGAGUGGCGGACGGGUGAGGAAUACAUCGGAAUCUACUUUUUCGUGGGGGAUAACGUAGGGAAACUUACGCUAAUACCGCAUACGACCUACGGGUGAAAGCAGGGGAGAUUCGGACCUUGCGCGAAUGAAUGAGCCGAUGUCGGAUUAGCUAGUUGGCGGGGUAAAGGCCCACCAAGGCGACGAUCCGUAGCUGGUCUGAGAGGAUGAUCAGCCACACUGGAACUGAGACACGGUCCAGACUCCUACGGGAGGCAGCAGUGGGGAAUAUUGGACAAUGGGCGCAAGCCUGAUCCAGCCAUACCGCGUGGGUGAAGAAGGCCUUCGGGUUGUAAAGCCCUUUUGUUGGGAAAGAAAAGCAGCAGGUUAAUACCCCGCUGUUCUGACGGUACCCAAAGAAUAAGCACCGGCUAACUUCGUG
rnacentral:rRNA from 1 species